GAUGAACGCUAGCGGCAGGCUUAAUACAUGCAAGUCGAGGGGCAGCGCAGUGUAGCAAUACAUGGGCGGCGACCGGCAAACGGGUGCGGAACACGUACGCAACCUACCCAUAACUGAUGAAUAGCCCUCCGAAAGGAGGAUUAAUACAUCGUAACCUAGUGAAGUGGCAUCACUUUACUAGUAUAGCUCCGGCGGCUUUGGAUGGGCGUGCGCCUGAUUAGGUAGUUGGCGGGGUAACGGCCCACCAAGCCUGCGAUCAGUAACUGGUGUGAGAGCACGACCAGUCACACGGGCACUGAGACACGGGCCCGACUCCUACGGGAGGCAGCAGUAAGGAGUAUUGGUCAAUGGACGCAAGUCUGAACCAGCCAUGCCGCGUGAAGGAUGAAGGUCCUCUGGAUUGUAAACUUCUUUUAUCUGGGACGAAACCCUCGUUUUCUAACGGGAUUGACGGUACCAGAGGAAUAAGCACCGGCUAACUCCGUGCCAGCCGCCGCAGUAACAC
rnacentral:rRNA from 1 species